rnacentral:rRNA from 1 species
UACGAAGGGGGCUAGCGUUGUUCGGAUUUACUGGGCGUAAAGCGCACGUAGGCGGAUUGUUAAGUCAGGGGUGAAAUCCUGGAGCUCAACUCCAGAACUGCCUUUGAUACUGGCAAUCUUGAGUCCGGAAGAGGUGAGUGGAACUCCUAGUGUAGAGGUGGAAUUCGUAGAUAUUAGGAAGAACACCAGUGGCGAAGGCGGCUCACUGGUCCGGUACUGACGCUGAGGUGCGAAAGCGUGGGGAG